rnacentral:rRNA from 1 species
AUUGAACGCUGGCGGCAUGCCUUACACAUGCAAGUCGAACGGUAACGGGCCUUCGGGUGCCGACGAGUGGCGAACGGGUGAGUAAUACAUCGGAACGUGCCCGAUCGUGGGGGAUAACGAGGCGAAAGCUUUGCUAAUACCGCAUACGAUCUACGGAUGAAAGCAGGGGACCGCAAGGCCUUGCGCGGACGGAGCGGCCGAUGGCAGAUUAGGUAGUUGGUGGGAUAAAAGCUUACCAAGCCGACGAUCUGUAGCUGGUCUGAGAGGAUGACCAGCCACACUGGGACUGAGACACGGCCCAGACUCCUACGGGAGGCAGCAGUGGGGAAUUUUGGACAAUGGGCGCAAGCCUGAUCCAGCCAUGCCGCGUGCAGGAUGAAGGCCUUCGGGUUGUAAACUGCUUUUGUACGGAACGAAAAGCCUUCUUUUAAUACAGGAGGGUCAUGACGGUACCGUAAGAAUAAGCACCGGCUAACUACGUG